CACAACUGUAUGAAGCCCUUUUUCUUUUGCACUUCCAACUGAUAGGGUGGAGCUAAUGUGAGAGGAGCUGGUCCUUGUGAUAAUCUCUGGUCACGGCUGCAGAAAAGGGCUUAACGGAAUCUACCGAGUGCCUGCUGGUAGCUGGUGCAAACUUACUUGUUUUUGACAUGCCAAACAUGUUGCCUUCUCAGUCGGCUGGAGCUUCAUGUGGGUUAUUCUAUUUGGACUCCUAUUUGCCGUGGUCGGAUCAUAUGCAGUGUACAAAUACAGUCUACAUUCUACAGCGAGAUCAAGCAAAACUGCAACAGUUCUAAAGGCUGUCGAAGAUCACAAGGGCAGCUCGCUAUUGUACUGGACUUCGGUCCAUAAGGGCAACUUGCUGUAGAUUUAUGCUAUACAUGUCACAGAACAGGGAUCAAUAUGAGGUGUCAUUUGACUGAACUUCAGUCAGUACAUGUUACAGAACUUCAGUCAAUAUGGGGCGUCAUUGGAUUGAACCCCAGAAUUGUUUGACCUCUACACAACGACAUUACAAAGAGAAUCCGUGUACAGCAUACCUGGGGCGUGCACUCCUAUCGAUUUGUUUAACCCCAGAUUUGUUUGAGCUCUACAGAUUAUUGA